rnacentral:lncRNA from 1 species
ACAAAACGAAUAGACUGCAAAAAUGCACUGCACCUUCAUAUGUCAAUGUUGUUCUUGGCUAAAAAACCAAUAUCAAAGGAAACUGCAGCAGGGCAACAAAACGCACAAAACAACCUCAACAGUGAUUAAAGAAGCGAAGCUGAACUGAUAACCCUGCAAAACAAAACUGCAGUUGCAUAAACAUAGACGGAAAACAAAUCCAGCAGAAAACAUUCACAUCGUGCACAACACAGCUGCAGAAAACAACAUGGAAGGCAGCCAACAAUAAAAAAAUAGAAAUAGACUUGCAGCCGAAACAUAAAAGUACAAAAAUGCAUCAGCACUCAAACAAAAAUUAGUUGCUCCAAAACCCUGAACUAAACUCAGCUCCUUCCCGUAUUCUUAUUAUAAUCCUUACUGAUUAACAUUUUCUUUUAUAUUUUGAGUACUAUAUGCUAACUGAACCUUUACUAACUAUAAACUUUAGGGCUCAACUUGAAGGAACCUUAUUAAAUUUAUUUUAGAAACAAAAAGAAUAGACUGCAAAAAUGUAGUGCUCCUUCCUAUGUCAUUGUUGUUCUAAGCUAAAAAUCAAUUUUAAAACAACUGAUAAAACCUAAUUUUAGUAAUUGUUUUCCUCCUUGAUAAACCUCUUAUUCCUCUUUUACCGGUGCAUCCACAUUAUGCUGUAAAAAAAAUUAGCACAAUAUGUAGGUUUUAGAAUUUUUUAGAAUAAAAGAAAGGAACAAUAAACCUUCAAUAGGUGCCGCCGGCGGCCGCUUUGAGCACUUCGAAAGAGAAAAACAGGAAGGAAUAAAAGAAUUACCAUGUUUUUCCAACAAUUUUGACGGAUGAGAUCGGUGCCAAAUUUGAUUAAGAAUUUGGCGACAUCGAUUCAACAGUGGAGAGAAGUAAUAAAGAACAAACAAUAAACAAACUAAGGACAUAUUAGAGGUUGUCUGAGGCAUGAUUCCAAAUCACAAUAUAAGAAUUUGAAGAAUCUCUAGUCACAUCACAUGGAAGAAAGGAAUGUGAUUACCAUCGCCAAGUUGUGUUUCAUCAUCAUCCUCAACAUUUUCAAAUGUAUUAAGUCCCAACGAUUUCGAAAUUUGAGCACUCACUGCAGCCAAAACACACAAAUCACAAUAUAGGUCAAAUUAUAGGUGAAAGUUCAUCAAAACAUUAUAUCAAACAGAUGGGGGAGGCAAAAGUAAGUGGAAAAACUGAUUCACAAAGCCUACCAUAUAAGAAACAGAUGCACAUUCCAGUUUGGUUUUGUUCAACUUCAGAUAAUAACAAUUGAAAGCAUAACAUGUAUUUUUAAGAUGUAAAUAAAUCAUAUUAAUAGGUUCAUACCAUCAAUUUUCUGCAAGAUUUUCUUGACUUUAUGGUUGCAUCCAUUCCAUAUGUUCAUUUUAAGCACAGAUUUCUGCAUACACAGUAAACAUAAGAUGAAGUUUAAUUUCAUUGUUCAAAAAAUGAAAAAUUAACUAAAAUGGGACAAAUGAUACAUAACACAAAAGCAAAAAUAAAAGAACCAUGGAGAAUGUGAUGGGAUUACAUGGAUCUUCAAAAACUCUUCUUUCAUCUGGGCAAUAGAAAAAAUGGUGAUUUAAAUAUGAGCAGAAUAGAAUAAAUGAGUAAAAGGUCGGUGAGUAUAUAAAAUCAAACUCAAAAUCAAAUUUUUACAAAACUAUCAAAACAUCAUGUUUAUCCCCUCAAAAACCCUAAACACAGAAUCAAAAAAUGAAAUUCGAGCCAUCUAGUGUAGCGUGCGACCAUGAAAAUAAAUUGAAUCAAUUAAAGGAAAGAGUAUAGGAAUUGAGAUACCUGAGAUCAAUAGAAGAAGCAGAUGAGAGUAGUUGGGACGAGAGAGAGGAAAACAUGCAUAGAAGAGAGAGAGUGAUGUUGCUUGCAGUAUGUCAUGAACCAAGAG